GUGGGCGCGAGGUUGCCGGGGGGGGGAUGAGGAGGUGCGUACCGCAUGGGGGAGGGGACAGUCUCGGGUGAGAUCACCACGGAGCGGCUUAGCGCGGCGCACAAGUCUCGCGAGAGAAGCGGCGGCUGGGCCCUGCAGGCGGAGGAAGUGGAAAAAGUCGCGGGAGGGUAGGGGACCGCGGAACUUCUGGUUGCUAUGACGACGGCAAAGCCCUGGAUUCCUGUCUCCUGCGGAGAGCAGAGGCUGCAAACAAAUGAAAAGAGGCUUGCUCAUGACUUGGAAGCGGUGGGCUGAGGCCUCCCAAGACCAUCUGGCUUGUUCCAUUGCCAGCCAGAGUGGAGGCGACAUUCACACGAACCCAGGAGCUGCAGGGGCGCGUGAGCUACAGCUGCCUUGUGGCAUCCAAGGAGUGCGCAACUAGUCUCACUCUGUUGCCCAGGCUGGAGUGCAGUGGCGCGAUCUCAGCUUACUUCAGCCUCCGCCUCCCGGUUUCAAGUGAAUUCUCCAGCCUCAACUUCACAAGUAGCUGGGAUUACAGGGCAUUCAAGCAGCCCUGAGGAGAGGUCCACAUGGUGAGCCACUGAGGGCCUUGCCAAGAGCCAGCACCAACGGUCCAGGUUUGGAGUGUACCACCUUGGAAGUGAAUCUUCCAGUCCAGUCAAGCCUUCAGAUGACUUCAGAACCGUCCAUGUAAGCCACUCUUGGAUUCCUGACCCACAGAAACUGUUGGAGUAAGUGAUGUUUCUGAAGCACCAAUGAAAAUGAAGUCCUGAAGUCCUGUGCUCAAUAUGAAAUGUUGGAAGUUAGAAGAAAAAAACAAAACUUGGAUCCAAUCUCAAGGCACUUUUUGUUUAAUGGGAAGAAGUGGAUUAUUUUAAAAGCUACAAAUAAAGUUACAUAAAAGUAGCAAA
rnacentral:lncRNA from 1 species